rnacentral:rRNA from 1 species
GCCGCGUGAAUGAUGAAGGUCUUAGGAUUGUAAAAUUCUUUCACCGGGGACGAUAAUGACGGUACCCGGAGAAGAAGCCCCGGCUAACUUCGUGCCAGCAGCCGCGGUAAUACGAAGGGGGCUAGCGUUGCUCGGAAUUACUGGGCGUAAAGGGAGCGUAGGCGGACUGUUAAGUUAGAGGUGAAAGCCCAGGGCUCAACCUUGGAAUUGCCUUUGAUACUGGCAGUCUUGAGUACGGAAGAGGUAUGUGGAACUCCGAGUGUAGAGGUGAAAUUCGUAGAUAUUCGGAAGAACACCAGUGGCGAAGGCGACAUACUGGUCCGUUACUGACGCUGAGGCUCGAAAGCGUGGGGAGCAAACAGGAUUAGAUACCCUGGUAGUCCACGCCGUAAACGAUGAGUGCUAGUUGUCGGCAUGCAUGCAUGUCGGUGACGCAGCUAACGCAUUAAGCACUCCGCCUGGGGAGUACGGUCGCAAGAUUAAAACUCAAUGGAAUUGACGGAA